UACGAAGGGGGCUAGCGUUGUUCGGAAUCACUGGGCGUAAAGCGCACGUAGGCGGAUUGUUAAGUCGGGGGUGAAAUCCCAGGGCUCAACCCUGGAACUGCCUUCGAUACUGGUGGUCUGGAGUCCGGGAGAGGUGAGUGGAACUCCUAGUGUAGAGGUGAAAUUCGUAGAUAUUAGGAAGAACACCAGUGGCGAAGGCGGCUCACUGGCCCGGUACUGACGCUGAGACGCGAAAGCGUGGGGAGCGAACAGG
rnacentral:rRNA from 1 species